AGGUGAUAUAUUGAAAAAUGGUAUAUGUAAUUAAUAUUAUUUUAAGAAUUUCGAAUCAAAAUUUAAAAAAUGAUAAAAAGAUAAAUAUCUAAGGAUAAAAUCAAUCAUAAUCAUGAAAAUGAUAAAAAAUAAAACAAGUGGAAUGAAACAUCUGAGUAACUUGAAUAAAAACCAACAGGGAUUAUAUAAGUAACGGUGAGUGAAAAUAUAAAAAUCUUAAAGUAUUGCCAAGAGGUAAGAAGAAAGUAGUUUCCAACUACUAAGAAAAAAGAAUAAAUUUUAGAUUAAAGUACCGCAAGGGAAAGAAAGUAAAUAGAAUAAUAAAGAGCAGUUAUAGUAUAACGUACCUUUUGUAUAAUGGGCCAGUGAGUUAUAUAUUUUAGUGAAAUAUAAAAUUUAUAUAUAAUUAGAUAAAAAUUAAAGUAUAUAGGCCCGAAAGCAAACGAUCUACACAUGUCCAAGUGUAUAUAACACCUAUUUAUAUAUUUAUAUAUAUAGGUAUAUAUAUGACUCAAUAGGUAAUUGUAGCAAUAAUUUCUAAAGAGAUGUGUGUAGCUGUGACAGACAAAUCUGGUUUGCAGAUAGCUGGUUUUCUGCGAAAUAUAUUUUAGUAUAGCCUUUAUAUUUAUUUAAACUGGUACAGCACUUAAAUACCUUUGGGGAAUUAGAAUAUAAUUUUAUCAAAAUAUUUAAACCUCGGAAUCAGUUAAUAAUAAUAAAAUCCUUAGGGAUGAUUAAAAGAUAUAAGGAGUCAGACUUAUUGCGAUAAGGUAGUAGGUCGAGAAGGAAACAACCUAGACUAUUAAAUGAAUGUCCCAAAUAUUAAUUAAGUGAACAAAAUCUAUCCUACUUUUAUAUUUUUAUAUAAAAGUUAUUAUUCUAUAUUUUUAUAUAGAAUUUUAUAUUAAAUUAUAGACAAUUAGUAAGUGGGUUUGACAAUAAUCAACUUUUAAUGAACAUGUAACAAUGCACUAAUUUUAUUUAUAUAUUUUUAUUAAUAGCCCGCAACUUGUUGCGGGCGAGAUAUAUAUAUUAAUAAUAGAGAAAAUAUAUCGGGUCUAAAUUAAUAACAGUAUUAUAGAUAUAAGUUAAUAAAACUUAUAUGGUAGCAGAAUAUAUAAUAAAAAAUUAUAAAGAGAUUGCUGGCUUGAGUAACGAUAGAUAAUAUAAGAUUAUCCCCUUAUUCAUAAGGUUUUACUAUAAACGAACGGUCCCUAAGAUUAAUAUAGAAGUAUAUAAUUAAUGGGUGAAAGAACAAGAAAAUAAAAAUGAACCGUACUGUAGACCGACACAGGUAUGAUUAAAAGGGAAUGGGAUAACUACUUUGAAUGAACUCGGCAAAAUAAAUCGUGCGACUGUUUACCAAAAACAUAGCUUAUUGCAUACUAGUAAUAGUAAGUAUAAUAAGUGAUAUCUGCCCGGUGUUUGUUUAAUAAAUAUUAUUAUUUAAUAGAUAAUUUUAUAAAAGACAGAUAAACGGCGGUCUUAUUGUGAGGAUCCGAAGGUAGCGAAAUUCAUUGACGUAUAAUUGACGUCCUGCAUGAAUGAAUAUACGAUGCGAUAACUGUAUCCAAAGUAGACUCAGUGAAAUAGCAAUUGCGGUGAAGAUGCCGUAUAUCCGUAGGUUGACAAAAAGACCCUAUGCAGCUUUACUAUAUCUUUAUUUUGAUUUUAAAACUCAUUUAUUUGAGUUUUACCUUUUUUUAUUUAUUUCAGUAGAUUAGGUUAUAUUUAUAUUUUAAAUCAAAUGAGAUACCUAUAUAAUUGAAAAAAGAAUCUAAUUAAUAUAGUCUAUUAGUUAUACUAAUGACUUAAGUUAUUUUAACUUAUUUAAGAAAGAGUAAAGAGGUUAGUUUCGAUGGGGCGUCGACAUCAGCGAAAGCAUCUGAUGUGUCUAAUAACUAAGAUCUUGUUUUUCAAGACUAAAUGUUUAAUUAAAUUAUUUAUUUAAUAGUAAAUUACGUACAAUAUUUCUAUAUGGUAAAUAGAAUAUAUAUGAAUCUUUUUAUUCAUAUUAAUUAUAAGUAAGGAUAACAACAUAAUUGUGCGAUGAUAAUAACACUAACAAGUGGAAUUAGUACUUACGUAGAGUGUAGUGAACAGGCAUAAACAAAUGGUAUGGAUGUCGAUAACGGAUUAACCGCGUGAGAGUUGAUAUCGUCAGCGGUGUUUGCCACCUCGAUGUCGUCUAGACUCGUCCUCCUGGUCGCAGCAACUAGGUAGGGUAGGACUGUUCGUCCUCUAAGGAGUUACUUGAGAUGGGUUAAUUACGACGUGAGUCAGUAAUGAUUUUAUCAUCUAUGGAUUUUUUACUUAUCUGUUGCCUUAAGUGUACGCAAGGAUAAUAAGGUACAUUCCUAUGGUUAAUAAUUAAUUAGCUAAGAAUGUUGUGUUUACAUAUUGAAUGCAUAUCAAAUAUUAAAUCCUUCAGAUAAGUUUAUACAUUAUAGACUAUAAUGUAUUAGUAUAUUUGUAUUUAUUAAAAAAUAUGCAAAUUAACUAAAUAAUAAUAAAAACAUAUACCU
rnacentral:rRNA from 1 species